CCUACGGGUGGCAGCAGUGGGGAAUAUUGCACAAUGGGCGCAAGCCUGGUGCAGCCAUGCCGCGUGUGUGAAGAAGGCCUUCGGGUUGUAAAGCACUUUCAGCGGGGAGGAAGGCGGUGAGGUUAAUAACCUCAUCGAUUGACGUUACCCGCAGAAGAAGCACCGGCUAACUCCGUGCCAGCAGCCGCGGUAAUACGGAGGGUGCAAGCGUUAAUCGGAAUUACUGGGCGUAAAGCGCACGCAGGCGGUCUGUCAAGUCGGAUGUGAAAUCCCCGGGCUCAACCUGGGAACUGCAUUCGAAACUGGCAGGCUAGAGUCUUGUAGAGGGGGGUAGAAUUCCAGGUGUAGCGGUGAAAUGCGUAGAGAUCUGGAGGAAUACCGGUGGCGAAGGCGGCCCCCUGGACAAAGACUGACGCUCAGGUGCGAAAGCGUGGGGAGCAAACAGGAUUAGAUACCCCUGUAGUC
rnacentral:rRNA from 1 species